GCCUUCGUGGUGUAAUGGUCAGCACACUGAGCUGGUAUUUCAGAGGUCCGUGGUUCGAUUCCCGGUGAAGGAA
rfam:Stegodyphus mimosarum contig110378, whole genome shotgun sequence.